CUGGAGAGGAUGAUCAGUCACACUGGAACUGAGACACGGUCCAGACUCCUACGGGAGGCAGCAGUGGGGAAUAUUGGACAAUGGGCGAAAGCCUGAUCCAGCCAUGCCGCGUGUGUGAAGAAGGUCUUCGGAUUGUAAAGCACUUUAAGUUGGGAGGAAGGGCAUUAACCUAAUACGUUAGUGUUUUGACGUUACCGACAGAAUAAGCACCGGCUAACUCUGUGCCAGCAGCCGCGGUAAUACAGAGGGUGCAAGCGUUAAUCGGAAUUACUGGGCGUAAAGCGCGCGUAGGUGGUUUGUUAAGUUGGAUGUGAAAGCCCCGGGCUCAACCUGGGAACUGCAUCCAAAACUGGCAAGCUAGAGUACGGUAGAGGGUGGUGGAAUUUCCUGUGUAGCGGUGAAAUGCGUAGAUAUAGGAAGGAACACCAGUGGCGAAGGCGACCACCUGGACUGAUACUGACACUGAGGUGCGAAAGCGUGGGGAGCAAACGGGAUUAGAUACCCUGGUAGUCCACGCCGUAAACGAUGUCAACUAGCCGUUGGAAUCCUUGAGAUUUUAGUGGCGCAGCUAACGCAUUAAGUUGACCGCCUGGGGAGUACGGCCGCAAGGUUAAAACUCAAAUGAAUUGACGGGGGCCCGCACAAGCGGUGGAGCAUGUGGUUUAAUUCGAAGCAACGCGAAGAACCUUACCAGGCCUUGACAUGCAGAGAACUUUCCAGAGAUGGAUUGGUGCCUUCGGGAACUCUGACACAGGUGCUGCAUGGCUGUCGUCAGCUCGUGUCGUGAGAUGUUGGGUUAAGUCCCGUAACGAGCGCAACCCUUGUCCUUAGUUACCAGCACGUAAUGGUGGGCACUCUAAGGAGACUGCCGGUGACAAACCGGAGGAAGGUGGGGAUGACGUCAAGUCAUCAUGGCCCUUACAGCCUGGGCUACACACGUGCUACAAUGGUCGGUACAGAGGGUUGCCAAGCCGCGAGGUGGAGCUAAUCUCACAAAACCGAUCGUAGUCCGGAUCGCAGUCUGCAACUCGACUGCGUGAAGUCGGAAUCGCUAGUAAUCGCGAAUCAGAAUGUCGCGGUGAAUACGUUCCCGGGCCUUGUACACACCGCCCGUCACACCAUGGGAGUGGGUUGCACCAGAAGUAGCUAGUCUAACCUUCGGGAGGACGGUUACCACGGAGUGAUU
rnacentral:rRNA from 1 species